rnacentral:rRNA from 1 species
UAUAAUGCAGUCGUACGCUAGCCGCUGAAUUGAUCCUUCGGGUGAAGUGAGGCAAUGACUAGAGUGGCGAACUGGUGAGUAACACGUAAGAAACCUGCCCUUUAGUGGGGGAUAACAUUUGGAAACAGAUGCUAAUACCGCGUAACAACAAAUCACACAUGUGAUCUGUUUGAAAGGUCCUUUUGGAUCGCUAGAGGAUGGUCUUGCGGCGUAUUAGCUUGUUGGUAGGGUAGAAGCCUACCAAGGCAAUGAUGCGUAGCCGAGUUGAGAGACUGGCCGGCCACAUUGGGACUGAGACACUGCCCAAACUCCUACGGGAGGCUGCAGUAGGGAAUUUUCCGCAAUGCACGAAAGUGUGACGGAGCGACGCCGCGUGUGUGAUGAAGGCUUUCGGGUCGUAAAGCACUGUUGUAAGGGAAGAAUAACUGAAUUCAGAGAAAGUUUUCAGCUUGACGGUACCUUACCAGAAAGGGAUGGCUAAAUACGUGCCAGCAGCCGCGGUAAUACGUAUGUCCCGAGCGUUAUCCGGAUUUAUUGGGCGUAAAGCGAGCGCAGACGGUUUAUUAAGUCUGAUGUGAAAUCCCGAGGCCCAACCUCGGAACUGCAUUGGAAACUGAUUUACUUGAGUGCGAUAGAGGCAAGUGGAACUCCAUGUGU